rnacentral:rRNA from 1 species
UACGUAGGGGGCAAGCGUUAUCCGGAUUUACAGGGUGUAAAGGGAGCGUAGACGGCUGUGCAAGCCAGAUGUGAAAGCCCGGGGCUCAACCCCGGGACUGCAUUUGGAACUGUGUAGCUGGAGUGUCGGAGAGGCAGGCGGAAUUCCUAGUGUAGCGGUGAAAUGCGUAGAUAUUAGGAGGAACACCAGUGGCGAAGGCGGCCUGCUGGACGAUGACUGACGUUGAGGCUCGAAAGCGUGGGGAGCAAACAGG